rnacentral:rRNA from 1 species
UGAGGAAUAUUGGUCGGAUGGAGGCAACUCUGAACCAGCCAAGUAGCGUGCAGGAUGACGGCCCUAUGGGUUGUAAACUGCUUUUAUGCGGGGAUAAAUUGACUCACGUGUGGGUCAUUGCAGGUACCGCAUGAAUAAGGACCGGCUAAUUCCGUGCCAGCAGCCGCGGUAAUACGGAAGGUCCUGGCGUUAUCCGGAUUUAUUGGGUUUAAAGGGAGCGUAGGCCAUUGUUUAAGCGUGUUGUGAAAUGUCCCGGCUCAACCGUGGCACUGCAGCGCGAACUGGACGACUUGAGUGCGCGGAACGUAUGCGGAAUUUGUGGUGUAGCGGUGAAAUGCUUAGAUAUCACGAAGAACUCCGAUUGCGAAGGCAGCAUACGGCAGCGCUACUGACGCUGAAGCUCGAAAGCGCGGGUAUCGAACAGGAUUAGAUACCCUGGUAGU